rnacentral:tRNA from 1 species
CAGGGAGACAACAAAAUGUUUAAUAUUAUUAUUUUGUCACCUUAGGUCGAUCGGUAUCUCACGUUCUUAAUUCGUUAAGAAUUUCAUUUCCUAAGUUUUUCUAGGUCACACCCAUUAUUUUUCCUGGGCCAUUAGCUCAGGUGGUUAGAGCGCACCCCUGAUAAGGGUGAGGUCCCUGGUUCAAGUCCAGGAUGGCCCAUAUCUCUAUGUUGGGGGUAUAGCUCAGUUGGUAGAGCGCCUGCUUUGCAAGCAGGAUGUCAGCGGUUCGAGUCCGCUUACCCCCACUGAUUACCACCUCUUCCAUAACCGAUAGAAAGGAAAUGUUUUGAGUUGUGAUCAUUAUUCUGAACGAAUCUAGCUUCCUAAUGAAAUCAUUAAGAUGCUGGACUCAUUGAAUUAAUUUCAUUGUUUUCAGAGAACCUUGACAACUGCAUAGAUUAUUUUUAAAGACAAUAAGCAUCUUUAAUGAUGCAGAUUUAUUAUUUGUGCGAAUGCAUUAAUAACAAUUCUAUUAAGCUGAUGCUUCAAUUUUUGAAGUUAUU